UACGUAGGGUGCAAGCGUUGUCCGGAAUUAUUGGGCGUAAAGAGCUCGUAGGCGGUUUGUCGCGUCUGCUGUGAAAACCCGAGGCUCAACCUCGGGCCUGCAGUGGGUACGGGCAGACUAGAGUGCGGUAGGGGAGAUUGGAAUUCCUGGUGUAGCGGUGGAAUGCGCAGAUAUCGGGAAGAACACCCGUGGCGAAGGCGGUUCUCUGGGACGGUACUGACGCUGGAGACGCGAAAGCGUGGGGAGCGAACAGG
rnacentral:rRNA from 1 species